UACGUAGGGGGCAAGCGUUGUCCGGAAUCAUUGGGCGUAAAGAGCGUGUAGGCGGUCCGGUCAGUCGGUUGUGAAAGUCAAGGGCUCAACCCUUGAAUGCCGGCCGAUACUGCCGGGCUAGAGUCCGGAAGAGGUGAGUGGAAUUCCUGGUGUAGCGGUGGAAUGCGCAGAUAUCAGGAGGAACACCGACGGCGUAAGCAGCGCCCUAAACGAGUACUGACGCUCAGGCACGAAAGCUGGGGGAGCAAACAGG
rnacentral:rRNA from 1 species